AAAGGAAGGCCUGGGUAUACUACUGGAUAUCUCUUGUCCAUAUUACAUUUGGCUUAAACCUGAACACUUGUUGCAGCUAAUGGAAGGCUCACUGCAUAAUACUCAGGCUUGACACAUGCCAGCAGCAUAUGCCAUCCUACCAUAUGGAAGGUCCAAGUUUUUCCACAAAGCAUUUACCUUUCCUGCUGCUCUAACAUAUAACAUGGAAAAGGAAAGGAAAACCAUCAAAAAUACAUUCACGGCUAAUUAAUCUCAGUGAGAAACAUGGGGUAUAAAAAAGCUGAGUUUCCAAGAGGAUUGUCCUAACUCUGAAGUGAUGUGCUAUAAAACCUAUUUCCAUUACAUUAAUAUACUCUGGAGCAAGAGCCAGGUGGCUUUUUACGUGCCUUAGGAAACCUGCUUGUUCUAACAGAGUGGAGUGCCCCUUCCCAGCACAGCAUGGGGGAGAGCAAAAUAAAUAGCUCCAGCGCCAAACUGCCAGGCCACCACUACAGUGUCAGCAGACAGAGAAAGUAGAUAAUUUUGUAAAAUUCAGAGGGACCAAAUUGCUCUGGGGGGGGCUGAUUCAGCACCACUGAAUGGGGAACAGUGUUGUCCUAUUGGCUUAAAACCAGUGUAAGCGUGCAAAGAGUCAGAUACCAACUCACGCUCAUCAAAACUGAAUACAUAGGCAUUUCAGAACAUCUUUAGCACCCUUAUAUACAGACAAUAUAGCUGCCUGCUUUUUCUUCACAUGACCAAAGUCCAACAAAAUCUUCACAUCUUCCCAUUGACUCUGUGAACUUUAGAUCAUACCCCUGAAGCACAGAGAAGUGCCUGAAUAAUAACAGAGAGCCAAGCACAUCAAAAACUAUCUUUCAAAUGGGGGACAGCCAGAGUGAGAUUGCACCAGCUGUCAGCUUAAGUCCUACCAAAGGCACCUUGAAAAAGCUCCAUCAACACUUCCAUGCUACUGAGAGGAAGUUUUGAAAAAAGACCUGAGGAUGGACUAUUGGAUCUCCAGAUGACACUGUAUGAUGUGCCUGCAGAGAACAAGAAUGUAGUCCUCAAGUGUAUCAGUGGGGAAUUUCACCAGAAGGACAGAGUACAGAAGAUCCAUUCCUACCUCCUGCUCCAGCCUUCCUGCUCCCUCCAGACAGUACAUUCCAUGGAGACUCUGGAACAAACUUCCCCAUUCAGGAGACUGCUGGUUGCUUAUGUGAAGCCCCAUCAUCACCAAGCAAAGACAGAUAGAUACUGCUAACACCAUCUUUCUGAACUGAUGUUUUUGGAGGGCUUUAAUACUAAAAAUUGAUCCUCUUGCAAAGGAGUGUAUGAAAUAAAAUAUUGACUGUAUGUGAUAAAAAAUAAAUAAAAAGGAACAUUUUUCCUCCUAAAAAUUGCAGUUUCCUAUUUUAAAGGAUGCAAUUUCUUUUCCUUAUGGAAAAGAACACUAAAUGCAUUGUAUUUUUGCCAAGCUUUAUGGGACUAAACAGAUUUAUGAAACACUCCUGAUUGACUUGGGGUGUGAAAAUGGCUUAUAUAAUUCUAAUAAUCUGACCUUUCUGCUUUUCCCUUUGCCUUCUCCUUUGCCAUCACUCAUGCUUCAGGAACACACAGGGCUAUGGAGGGUGGGUUUUCUCUGUCUUUUCUACACAAGAAAAGUCUUUUUUUCUUAUUCUUCCAUCAUCUUCCUACACAGGGUCACAGCAGAGGAAGGCUCAAGGUCUGCAGCAGUCUAUUUGGCUCACUCUUAAUGAGAAAAAUAUCUGGGGAUCAUCUUUCUGAGUUCA